rnacentral:tRNA from 1 species
GGUUCUUGUAGUUAAGACUCUUUAACAGUAGUUUUUCAAGCUGCAAACCUUGGAGAAAAGCCAAGCAAGAAUA